rnacentral:rRNA from 1 species
AUAAUGCAGUCGAGCGGACCGACGGGAGCUUGCUCCCUUAGGUCAGCGGCGGACGGGUGAGUAACACGUGGGUAACCUGCCUGUAAGACUGGGAUAACUCCGGGAAACCGGGGCUAAUACCGGAUGCUUGAUUGAACCGCAUGGUUCAAUCAUAAAAGGUGGCUUUUAGCUACCACUUGCAGAUGGACCCGCGGCGCAUUAGCUAGUUGGUGAGGUAACGGCUCACCAAGGCGACGAUGCGUAGCCGACCUGAGAGGGUGAUCGGCCACACUGGGACUGAGACACGGCCCAGACUCCUACGGGAGGCAGCAGUAGGGAAUCUUCCGCAAUGGACGAAAGUCUGACGGAGCAACGCCGCGUGAGUGAUGAAGGUUUUCGGAUCGUAAAACUCUGUUGUUAGGGAAGAACAAGUACCGUUCGAAUAGGGCGGUACCUUGACGGUACCUAACCAGAAAGCCACGGCUAACUACGUGCCAGCAGCCGCGGUAAUACGUAGGUGGCAAGCGUUGUCCGGAAUUAUUGGGCGUAAAGCGCGCGCAGGCGGUUUCUUAAGUCUGAUGUGAAAGCCCCCGGCUCAACCGGGGAGGGUCAUUGGAAACUGGGGAACUUGAGUGCAGAAGAGGAGAGUGGAAUUCCACGUGUAGCGGUGAAAUGCGUAGAGAUGUGGAGGAACACCAGUGGCGAAGGCGACUCUCUGGUCUGUAACUGACGCUGAGGCGCGAAAGCGUGGGGAGCGAACAGGAUUAGAUACCCUGGUAGUCCACGCCGUAAACGAUGAGUGCUAAGUGUUAGAGGGUUUCCGCCCUUUAGUGCUGCAGCAAACGCAUUAAGCACUCCGCCUGGGGAGUACGGUCGCAAGACUGAAACUCAAAGGAAUUGACGGGGGCCCGCACAAGCGGUGGAGCAUGUGGUUUAAUUCGAAGCAACGCGAAGAACCUUACCAGGUCUUGACAU